rnacentral:rRNA from 1 species
GACGAAUGCUGGCGGCGUGCUUAACACAUGCAAGUCGAACGGAAAGGCCCUGCUUUUGUGGGGUGCUCGAGUGGCGAACGGGUGAGUAACACGUGAGUAACCUGCCCUUGACUUUGGGAUAACUUCAGGAAACUGGGGCUAAUACCGGAUAGGAGCUCCUGCUGCAUGGUGGGGGUUGGAAAGUUUCGGCUGUUGGGGAUGGACUCGCGGCUUAUCAGCUUGUUGGUGGGGUAGUGGCUUACCAAGGCUUUGACGGGUAGCCGGCCUGAGAGGGUGACCGGCCACAUUGGGACUGAGAUACGGCCCAGACUCCUACGGGAGGCAGCAGUGGGGAAUAUUGCACAAUGGGCGGAAGCCUGAUGCAGCAACGCCGCGUGCGGGAUGACGGCCUUCGGGUUGUAAACCGCUUUCGCCUGUGACGAAGCGUGAGUGACGGUAAUGGGUAAAGAAGCACCGGCUAACUACGUG